CGGAUUCUGAGACACGAAUCCGGACCUUACGGGGUGCAGCAGGCGCGAAAACUUCACACUGCAGGAAACUGUGAUGAGGGAACUCCAAGUGACUGCACAAUGUGUAGCCUUUUCUUGAAUCUUAAUAGUUCUUGGAAUAAGGGCUGGGAAAGACCGGUGCCAGCCGCCGCGGUAAUACCGGCAGCUCAAGUGGUCGUCGCUUUUAUUGGGCCUAAAACGUCCGUAGCCUGUUUGGUAAAUCUGUGGGUAAAUCAACGAGCUUAACUCGUUGAAUUCUGCAGAGACUGCCAGACUAGGGACCGGGAGAGGUAUGAGGUACUCUGGGGGUAGGGGUAAAAUCCUGUCAUCCUCAGAGGACCACCUGUUGCGAAGGCGUCAUACUGGAACGGAUCCGACGGUCAGGGACGAAGCCUAGGGGCACGAACCGGAUUAGAUACCCGGGUAGUCCUAGGUGUAAACGCUGUGGAUUUGGUGUGUGGGGUCCGCAAUGGGCCCCAUGUGCCGGAGUGAAGAUGUUAAAUCCACUGCCUGGGGAGUACGGUCGCAAGGCUGAAACUCAAAUGAAUUGACGGAAUCACUA
rnacentral:rRNA from 1 species